GACGAACGCUGGCGGCGUGCUUAACACAUGCAAGUCGAACGGAAAGGCCCUGCUUUUGUGGGGUGCUCGAGUGGCGAACGGGUGAGUAACACGUGAGUAACCUGCCCUUGACUUUGGGAUAACUUCAGGAAACUGGGGCUAAUACCGGAUAGGAGCUCCUGCUGCAUGGUGGGGGUUGGAAAGUUUCGGCGGUUGGGGAUGGACUCGCGGCUUAUCAGCUUGUUGGUGGGGUAGUGGCUUACCAAGGCUUUGACGGGUAGCCGGCCUGAGAGGGUGACCGGCCACAUUGGGACUGCGGUACGGCCCAGACUCCUACGGGAGGCAGCAGUGGGGAAUAUUGCACAAUGGGCGGAAGCCUGAUGCAGCAACGCCGCGUGCGGGAUGACGGCCUUCUGGUUGUAAACCGCUUUCGCCUGUGACGAAGCGUGAGUGACGGUAAUGGAUAAAGAAGCACCGGCUAACUACGUG
rnacentral:rRNA from 1 species